rnacentral:rRNA from 1 species
GACGAACGCUGGCGGCGUGCUUAACACAUGCAAGUCGAACGGAAAGGCCCCUUUGGGGGUACUCGAGUGGCGAACGGGUGGGUAACACGUGAGUAACCUGCCCUUCACUUCGGGAUAACUUCAGGAAACUGGGGCUAAUACCGGUUAGGAAUCCUUUCCGCAUGGUGGGGGUUGGAAAGCUUCGGCGGUUUUGGAUGGCCUCGCGGCUUGUCAGCUUGUUGGUGGGGUAGUGGCUUACCAAGGUUUUGACGGGUAGCCGGCCUGAGAGGGCGACCGGCCACAGUGGGGCUGAGAGAGGGCCCAGACUCCGACGGGAGGCAGAAGUGGGGAAUAUUGCAGAAUGGGCGGAGGUCUGAUGCAGCAAGGCGGCGUGCGGGAGGACGGCCUUCGGGUUGUAAACCGCUUUCAGCAGGGGCGGAGCGUGUGGUGACGGUACCUGCAGAAGAAGCACCGGCUAACUACGUG